UACAGAGGGGGCAAGCGUUGUUCGGAAUUACUGGGCGUAAAGGGCGCGUAGGCGGCCUUCUAAGUCGAACGUGAAAUCCCCGGGCUCAACCCGGGAACUGCGUCCGAUACUGGAAGGCUUGAAUCCAGGAGAGGGAUGUGGAAUUCCAGGUGUAGCGGUGAAAUGCGUAGAUAUCUGGAGGAACACCGGUGGCGAAGGCGACAUCCUGGACCGGUAUUGACGCUGAGGCGCGAAAGCCAGGGGAGCAAACGGG
rnacentral:rRNA from 1 species